rnacentral:rRNA from 1 species
UACGUAGGGGGCAAGCGUUGUCCGGAAUUAUUGGGCGUAAAGAGCGCGUAGGCGGUCCGAUAAGUCGGCUGUGAAAGUCAGGGGCUCAACCCUUGAAAGCCGGCCGAUACUGUCGGACUAGAGUCCGGAAGAGGCGAGUGGAAUUCCCGGUGUAGUGGUGGAAUGCGUAGAGAUCGGGAGGAACACCAGUGGCGAAGGCGGCUUCCUGGCCUGUUCUUGACGCUGAGGCGCGAAAGCUAGGGGAGCAAACGGG